GUUCAAUUAGUUUAAAUUAAAAAUAAUAAAUUGUGGAUUUAUAGAUAUUUUAUAUUGAACA
rnacentral:tRNA from 1 species